rnacentral:rRNA from 1 species
AGCAAUCAUACUGUGAAACUGCGAAUGGCUCAUUAAAUCAGUUAUCGUUUAUUUGAUAGUACCUUUACCUGGAUAACCGUGGUAAUUCUAGAGCUAAUACAUGCUAAAAACCUCGACUUCGGAAGGGGUGUAUUUAUUAGAUAAAAAACCAAUGCCCUUCGGGGCUCCUUGGUGAUUCAUAAUAACUUAACGAAUCGCAUGGCCUUGCGCCGGCGAUGGUUCAUUCAAAUUUCUGCCCUAUCAACUUUCGAUGGUAAGAUAGUGGCUUACCAUGGUCUCAACGGGUAACGGGGAAUUAGGGUUCUAUUCCGGAGAGGGAGCCUGAGAAACGGCUACCACAUCCAAGGAAGGCAGCAGGCGCGCAAAUUACCCAAUCCCAAUUCGGGGAGGUAGUGACAAUAAAUACUGAUACGGGGCUCUUUCGGGUCUCGUAAUUGGAAUGAGUACAAUCUAAAUCCCUUAACGAGGAACAAUUGGAGGGCAAGUCUGGUGCCAGCAGCCGCGGUAAUUCCAGCUCCAAUAGCGUAUAUUAAAGUUGUUGCCGUUAAAAAGCUCGUAGUUGAACCUUGGACCUGGCUGAUCUGUCCUCCUAAUCGAGCGCACGGAUUCGGUCGGGUCUUUCCUUCUGGGGAGCCCUAUGCCCUUCACUGGGUGUAGUGGGGAACCAGGACUUUUACCUUGAAAAAAUUAGAGUGUUCAAAGCAGGCCUUUGCUCGAAUACAUUAGCAUGGAAUAAUAGAAUAGGACAUCGGUUCUAUUUUGUUGGUUUCUAGGACCGCUGUAAUGAUUAAUAGGGAUAGUCGGGGGCGUCAGUAUUCAAUUGUCAGAGGUGAAAUUCUUGGAUUUAUUGAAGACUAACUACUGCGAAAGCAUUCGCCAAGGAUGUUUUCAUUAAUCAGUGAACGAAAGUUAGGGGAUCGAAGACGAUCAGAUACCGUCGUAGUCUUAACCAUAAACUAUGCCGACUAGGGAUCGGACGGUGGUUUUUUUAUGCCCCGUUCGGCACCUUACGAGAAAUCAAAGUUUUUGGGCUCGGGGGGGAGUAUGGUCGCAAGGCUGAAACUUAAAGAAAU